rnacentral:rRNA from 1 species
UACGGAGGGUGCGAGCGUUGUUCGGAAUCACUGGGCGUAAAGCGCGUGUAGGCGGCCCAUUAAGUCUGAUGUGAAAGCCCGGGGCUCACCCCCGGAAGUGCAUUGGAAACUGAUGGACUCGAGUCCCGGAGAGGAGAGUGGAAUUCUUGGUGUAGCGGUGAAAUGCGUAGAUAUCAGGAGGAACACCGGUGGCGAAGGCGGCUCUCUGGACGGUGACUGACGCUGAGACGCGAAAGCGUGGGGAGCAAACAGG